ensembl:lincRNA Gm43619 predicted gene 43619
AGAGUCUAGUGCCAGCACAUACCCAGACUGUGUGAUCCCAUUUCUCGUUGGAAUGAACAUGGAAAACAACUAAGUUUCCAGAGAUGGCUUCAUCUUCUUGAUUCAUAUUUUGCCAUAUUUUAUGAAUUUCCAAUUUUUUUUAGACUUCAUAUAAUUGGCAUUUAAAUGAGACUCCAGAUCUGAAAUUCAUCCUCCUUGGACUGAACUGACCUCCGGAGGUUUUCCACAGAUUUGGACAAAUCACUCAGAGGACUCCAGUGGUCAUGAUUAAAUGUUGGCAGAUGUGGGAAUGGAUGCCAGGGCUUAGCAUUUUCAGGAAAUACGAGGCUAUUUUCUAACAUUGCUGCACCUUGUACAGUAGAGUCCUGGCAGUGUCACCAGCACACAUAGCUCAAAGCCAGUAGCAUCACUGCCACCAACAAGGACCUAAAUGAGACUGUACAAUAGUUGUCUUCUUGAACUAUAUUUCACAUGCCAUUUCCUUCAAUUUUGUCCGCCUAUGGGAUUCCCUUGGAUUGCUGAAUAGUUAUUCACAUGUAUACACAUAUCACAUUUUGUUUAUCAGUCCUGGAAAUGAUUCUUAACUAUGACAUGAAAACCAUAGCAACAAAAGGAGAAGAAAGUGAAGCAACGCCAGAGCAAAAAUCCCCUGUGCAGUCAUCAAGCAAGCAAAGGUUCCCGUCUUGAAGGGUUGAAAAGUCAUCCUGGUGCAAGUAUAAAUUCUAUGAGCCCUAGAUGGAAAAGAAGCCACUAUGACCUGUCACCUGAGGAAGGAGGCAACAAGGCUUGAUUUGUUGCAUCUUACACUUGACAGUUGUAAGCACUGACAUCCAGGUUCAUCUCAGAAAUUUUCCAAACGAACACACGAUAGGUGAACAUUUCUUACAACUUGGAAUAAAUCCUUGUUUGCUGUC